UAGGUAAACGCUGCAUUUAAUGUAGAGGAAAGUCCAUGCUCGCAAAGUCUGAGAUGACUUUAGUGUUCACGCUAAGGGAAAAAAUAACCUUAGGUAGUUUAGGCUAACGGCUCUAAAAUAACCUCAAAUGGUUAAAGUAAGUAUAAAAGUGCCAAAGAGACGAGUUUUUCUGGAAACGGAAAAAGUGGAACGUGGUAAACCCCGUGAGCGAGAAACCCAAAUUUUGGUAGGGGAAUUCUUAAAGGUGAAAUGAAACCAAUAAGAAUACUUUAAGUAAGAUAAAUGUUUACCGCCUAUAUAGGUACAGAACAUGGCUUAUU
rnacentral:RNase_P_RNA from 1 species